UACGUAGGUGGCAAGCGUUGUCCGGAUUUAUUGGGUUUAAAGGGUGCGUAGGCGGCUUUGUAAGCCAGUGGUGAAAUAUGGCAGCUCAACUGUCAGGGUGCCAUUGAUACUGCGGAGCUUGAGUACAGAUGAGGUAGGCGGAAUUGACGGUGUAGCGGUGAAAUGCUUAGAUAUCGUCAAGAACACCGAUAGCGAAGGCAGCUUACUGGGCUGUAACUGACGCUGAGGCACGAAAGUGUGGGGAUCAAACAGG
rnacentral:rRNA from 1 species